UUCCCUUACCAAAAUGGAGAAAAUUGUAAACAAACUUGUUUUGAAGUUGGAAAAUUGUCUGUAACAAUUUUUGUUGUAAAAAAAAAACACGCCGGAGUUUUAGAUUGCUAAGAAGACCAUUCGUAUUGCGAAGGCAAAUGCACGUCAUUGUAUCCUGGUACUGAGGUGACCGAGGCUAUGAGGGCACUACCUCCCGGUAGUGAUGAGGUUGUUGCUUUGGCUGUGACGGAGGAGCUGUCUACUGAGGUGACUCCCUUCGCUAGCCAGGACCCCGUCCGUCCUGUUGUAGAUGUUGCGGUAAUCCCAGAGGAUACGCCCGCCGCUGACGUCGAAGGCUGCAAGAAAGAGCAUCAUAAUGCAGUUAACUGAAUUCUGUUAUGAGGCAGGAAAGGGACAUCAAAGAACAGUGGACAAGAUUUUAUUCUGAAGCAGAGGACGAGAUUUUUUUAAAGAAGGAAGAAAGGAAUAUUAAAGUGCACAGGACUGGAUUUAAUUAUGAAUCAAGAAAAGGAACAUCAAAGUGCAGUAAAUGGAAUUUUAUUAUGAAAUGCAAGGAAGGGACAUCAAAGUGCAAUGGACUGGCGACUACUGGGGAGAAGAUGUUGCUUUAAAAGAUUGCUUUUUGCUACAGGUGCAAAGCCUUGACAGAUUCCUUUACUAUUGAUUGAGACCUGCUAACAUUACCUUCGAGGACAAUCCGGUGUCUAUAUGUCCACUAGAUUGUGGCGUUUUUUGGAGCGACUGGAAGGAAAGAAAGAACAUAAAGAAGGAAUAUAAAAGUGCAAUAGAUUCAAUUUUAUGGAGCUACAAGGAAGAAUCAUCAAAGCACAAUGGACUUGGAUUCUAUUUAAAUUCAGUGGAUAGAUUGGAUUUUCUCAGAGUGAAGAAAGGAUAAUAUUAUCGUAAUGUUAUGCACGUAAUAACCCAUAAAAGUGACAUAAAAGUUUUAAUUAUUUGAAUUGAUACUUUUUGUGGGGGUGGGAAUCUCUGUCCUGUCUAUUCCAGAUCCUUCCCAUUCAUCCUAUCCCAUUACACUGCCCAUCCCAUUCCUGACUGGUUGCCCUGAUAUGUUCGUACAAAUAAUAUAUAAUAUAACAUAUCUGAAUGGAAAUAUUAAUGUAGAGCAUGGUUACAUUAAAAGCAGAGAAAAGAUGUGAAUAGAUAAAUUUAAUAUGAAAUAUGUUAGAGCGAAAAUAUGUCAUAUUCAUGCAAUUGACACUUUUUAACACUUUCUAUAGUCACACUUUAUAAGAAGUGGUAAAAGUAUACUUCUGUAUAUGUAGAUGUAUAUAUGAUAGAAAAGGUGGAAAACAUGAGUUUUUCGAGAUGUCCAUAAUAUUAUUAUGAAAAGAGACUAUUAUGUGAAGUGGAAUAAUUAUUAAAUCUGGAACCACACUUGUAUGAUCAGUUGAAAGUUCAUACACAGUUUUUGGAAGUUACACUCUCGCGAUAUUUUGAAAAGUUUGGAAAAAGAAUUGUUUGAAAGGUAUAUAUUUUUCUGUGUUACUUGCUUAUUUGCUGAAUUACAAAAGUAAUGUACAUUUCAUGUUGCCGUGAUUUUACUUACACCAAUUUAUUCAAUUUCAGUAUGAGAUAUGUUGCAGGAAAAUAGUGUCAAGGCAAGGAGAAAAGAAUAGUUAAGUGCACAGGACUGAAUUUAAUUAUGAAGCAAGGAAGGGACAUUAUAGUACAGUUGAAAGAACUUGAUAAUGAAGCAGGGAAGGACAUCAAGUGCAAGGCAGACUGGAUUUUCUCAGGAAGGAAAGAAAGAACAUAAGGAAGGAAUAUAAAAGUGCAAUAGAUUCAAUUUUAUGGAGCUACAAGGAAGAAUCAUCAAAGCACAGUGGACUUGGAUUCUAUUUAAAUUCAGUGGACAGAUUGGAUUUUCUCAGAGUGAAGAAAGGAUAAUAUUAUCUUAAUGUUAUGCACGUAAUAACCCAUAAAAGUGACAAAAGUUUCAAUUAUUUGAAUUGAUACUUUUUGUGGGGGUGGGAAUCUCUGUCCUGUCUAUUCCAGAUCCUUCCCAUUCAUCCCCAUUACCCUGCCCAUCCCAUUCCUGAUUGGUUGCCCUGAUAUGUUCGUACAAAUAAUAUAUAAUAUAACAUAUCUGAAUGAAAAUAUUAAUGUAGAGCAUGAUUACAUUAAAAGCAGAGAAAAGAUGUGAAUAGAUAGAUUUAAUAUGAAAAAUGUUAGUGCGAAAUUGUGUCAUAUUCAUGCAAUUGACACUUUUUAACACUUUCUAUAGUCACACUUUAUAAGAAGUGGUAAAAGUAUACUUCUGUAUAUGUAGAUGUAUAUAUGAUAAAAAAGGUGGAAAACAUGAGUUUUUCGAGAUGUCCAUAAUAUUAUUAUGAAAAAAGACUAUUAUUUGAAGUGGAAUAAUUAUUAAAUCUGGAACCACACUUGUAUGAACAGUUGAAAGUUCAUACACAGUUUCAGAAGUUACACUCUCGCGAUAUUUUGAAAAGUUUGGAAAAAGAAUUGUUUGAAAGGUAUAUAUUUUUCUGUGUUACUUGCAUAUUUGCUGAGUUACAAAGUAAUGUACAUUUCAUGUUGCCAUGAUUUUACUUACACCAAUUUAUUCAAUUUCAGUAUGAGAUAUGUUGCAGGAAAAUGGUGUCAAGGCAAGGAGAAAAGAAUAGUUAAGUGCACAGGACUGAAUUUAAUCAUGAAGCAAGGAAGGGACAUUAAGAGUACAGUUGAAAGAACUUUAUAAUGAAGCAGGGAAGGACAUCAAGUGCAAGGCAGACUGGAUUUUCUCAGGAAGGAAAGAAAGAACAUAAAGAAGGAAUAUAAAAGCGCAAUAGAUUCAGUUUUAUGGAGCUACAAAGAAGAAGAAUCAAAGCACAGUGGACUUGGAUUCUAUUUAAAUUCAGUGGACAGAUUGGAUUUUCUCAGAAUGAAGAAAGGAUAAUAUUAUCUUAAUGUUAUGCACAUAAUAACCCAUAAAAGUGACAUAAAAGUUUUAAUUAUUUGAAUUGAUACUUUUUGUGGGGGUGGGAAUCUCUGUCCUGUCUAUUCCAGAUCCUUCCCAUUCAUCCUAUCCCAUUACCCUGCCCAUCCCGUUCCUGAUUGGUUGCCCUAAUAUGUUCGUACAAAUAAUAUAUAAUAUAAUAUAUCUGAAUGAAAAUAUUAAUGUAGAGCAUGGUUACAUUAAAAGCAGAGGAAAGAUAUGAAUAGAUAAAUUUAAUAUGAAAUAUGUUAGUGCGAAAAUGUGUCAUAUUCAUGCAAUUGACACUUUUUAACACUUUCUAUAGUCACACUUUAUAAGAAGUGGUAAAAGUAUACUUCUGUAUAUGUAGAUGUAUAUAUGAUAGAAAAGGUGGAAAACAUGAGUUUUUCGAGAUGUCCAUAAUAUUAUUAUGAAAAGAGACUAUUAUCUGAAGUGGAAUAAUUAUUAAAUCUGGAACCACACUUGUAUGAACAGUUGAAAGUUCAUACACAGUUUUUGGAAGUUACACUCUCGCGAUAUUUUGAAAAGUUUGGAAAAAGAAUUGUUUGAAAGGUAUAUAUUUUUCUGUGUUACUUGCAUAUUUGCUGAAUUACAAAGUAAUGUACAUUUCAUGUUGCCAUGCUUUUACUUACACCAGUUUAUUUAAUUUCAGUAUGAGAUAUGUUGCAGGAAAAUGCUGUCAAGGCAAGCCGAAGAAGCAGCACUGGAUUUUCCCUGGAAAAGAAUGAAGACUGUCUGCGAAGAAAGUGACUGUAUUCAUUUGUAGUGUUUAAAGUGAAGAAAAUAAUAAAAUGUUAUUAAUUGAAAUUUAUACUUUGUGGGGGUUGGGAACUCUGUCCUGUCUAUUCCAGUUCCUCCCCAUUCAUUCCUAUCCCAAUUCAUCCUGACCCGGUCCAUCCGAUUUUUUAUUGGUAACGUAUGACAGUGUGUAAAUAUGUUUUAUUCAUGCAAUUGACCCUUACAAUAAUUUAUUAUAGUAACACUUUACAAGAAGUGGUAAAAGAACCCUUCUUUUAAUGUAAAUGUUUAUAUAUGAUAGAAAAUGUGGAGAAUAUGAGUUUUUCGAGAUGUUCAUAAUAUUGUUAUGAAAACAGUCUAUUAUCUGAAGUGGAAUAAUUAUUAAAUCUGGAACCACGCUUGCAUGAACAUUUGAAAGUUCAUACACAGUUUUCGGAAGUUUCACUCUCGCGAUAUUUUGAAAAGUUUGGAAAAAGAAUUGUUUGAAAGGUAUAUAUUUUUCUGUGUUACUUGCAUAUUUGCUGAAUUACAAAAGUAAUGUACAUUUCAUGUAGCCAUGCUUUAACUUACACCAGUUUAUUCAAUUUCAGUAUGAGAUAUGUUGCAGGAAAAUGCUGUCAAGGCAAGGAGAAAAGAAUAGUUAAGUGCACAGGACUGAAUUUAAUUAUGAAGCAAGGAAGGGACAUUAGAGUACAGUUGAAAGAACUUGAUAAUGAAGCAGGGAAGUACAUCAAGUGCAAGGGACUGGAUUCUAAUAUGUGAGAAAGGAACAUUAAAGUGCUGAGACUACCAAGGAAGAGAUGCUGCUUCAAACGAUUGGCAGAGUUGCUUUUUGUUACAGAUGCAAAGCCAUGACAGAUUCCUUUACUAUUGAUUGAGACAAACUAACGUCACCUUCGAGGACAAUCCGGUGUCUAUAUGUCCGCUAGAUUGAGGCGUUUUUUGGAGAAACUAGUCUACAACAUUGUGCCGGCAGUGUUUAGAUGAUGGUUGUUCCUCUGUGUUUUGAGAGAUGGAAUCAGGGAUUGUGAGGAUUUGCAUUUCUUUCAGGUCAACAGACUGCCAAUGACAACUGACAAUGUCCCGUUCUAGUAUACAUUCAGCGAUUGAUUGGACUUUAUUAUGAAGCAAAAAAGGAAUAUCGAAAGUGCAAUAGACUAGAUUUAAUAUGAAUCAAGGAAAUAUCAUUUAAGUGUUAUGAACUAUGAAGUUUCAGGACAGGAAGAAAUAUCAUCCAAUUCUAAUUGACUGGAUUUUCUCAGGAAGGAAAGAAAGACAUAAGGAAGGAAUAUAAAAGUGCAAUAGAUUCAAUUUUAUGGAGCUACAAGGAAGAAUCAUCAAAGCACAGUGGACUUGGAUUCUAUUUAAAUUCAGUGGACAGAUUGGAUUUUCUCAGAGUGAAGAAAGGAUAAUAUUCUUAAAUGUUAUGCACGUAAUAACCCAUAAAAGUGACAUAAAAGUUUUAAUUAUUUGAAUUGAUACUUUUUGUGGGGGUGGGAAUCUCUGUCCUGUCUAUUCCAGAUCCUUCCCAUUCAUCCUAUCCCAUUACCCUGCCCAUCCCGUUCCUGAUUGGUUGCCCUAAUAUGUUCGUACAAAUAAUAUAUAAUAUAAUAUAUCUGAAUGAAAAUAUUAAUGUAGAACAUGGUUACAUUAAAAGCAGAGAAAAGAUGUGAAUAGAUUAAUUUAAUAUGAAAUAUGUUAAUGUGAAAAUGUCUUAUUCAUGCAGUUGACACUUUCUAUAUUCACACUUUAUAUGAAGUAGUAUAAGUACACUUCUUUAUAAGUAGAUGUAUGUAUAUGAUAAAAAAGGUCCGAAAACAUGAAUUUUUCGGGACGUUCAUAAUAUUAUUAUGGAUACAGUCUAUUAUCUGAAGUGGAAUAAUUAUUAAAUCUGGAACCACGCUUGUACAGCUUUUUUGGAAGUUGCACUCUCGCGAUAUUUUGGAUAAUAUGGAAAAAGAAUCGUUUAAAAGGUAAUGUUUUUCUGCUUGGUACAUAUAUGCAGAAUUACAUUUCAUGUUGCCAUGCUUAUUUACAGUACUUAUACCUGUCCAUUUUUUCUUCAGUUAGAGCUGCAAGUUGAAGCAGGAAAAUGGUGUCAAGUGUCAAGGCAAGCCAAAGAAGCAGUACUGGAUUUUCCCCGGAAAAUUUGAGCUGCAAGUUGAAGCAGGAAAAUGGUGUCAAGUGUCAAGGCAAGCCAAAGAAGCAGUACUGGAUUUUUCCUGGAAAAUCAUAUUUGCUGACCAUUGUUGAAGCUGUGGAUUUUCCCUGGAAAAGAAUGAAGAAUGUUUUCAAGAAGAGACUGUAUUCAUUUGUAGUGUUGGAAGUGACGAAAGAAUAACAAAUGGGUACUUACUGGAAUUUAUAUUUUUUGUGGAGUUGGGAAUCUCUGUCCUGUCUAUUCCUGUUCCUCCCCAUUCUGUCUUGUCCCAUCCUGACCUGGCCCAUCCAUUCCUGAUUGAUAAUCUAGAAGUGUUUGUAAAAAGAACAUGUUGCAUAUUUGAAUGGAAUUGUAUAUUGAAGUAGUGUUACAGAAUAUGGCUACAAAAUAAGCUGAAAAAAAAUGUAUAAAAAAUAUUAAUACGAAAUAUGUUAGUGUGAAAAUGUGUUUUAUUUAUGCAGUUGAUAUAGUUUAGUUUAUUAUUGUAUAAAAAUAAAGUGUGUUUCAGCAAAGUAUAAUUUAUAAGUCUGUACGAGUUUUGUCAAACGUAAAUAUGGAUACAGUUAUACAGUAUUAUACAGGAUAUAAGAUAGAAUAAAUAUUAAACCUGGAAUGACAUUUGUAGCAAUAUGUAAUGGAAAAACUUGGUCAAUUGGGUAUAUAGACAUUCUGGAUGUAACAACAUGACAAGUCUCUUACAUUAUACUGUUUAUAGAGACAGAAGACAAAAGAUGCUGGAAAUGUAAGUAGAGGCUACAAGACUGAUUUCCAAACCAAAUGAUAGGCACUGGUAUGUAUUGUUGUUUAUAAUAAUAAUUGUAGUGUUGUUUAUAAAAGAAUUCAUUGAUAUGUUGACCUGUUCCACACAGGUAAAUGUCAACUUCUCCACUCAAAUUAGAGGUGGAGGAUGUUUGAUCUAGACUUUAGCUUAAGAGGAUUUAACUAAUGUAUUCCAUGUAACUUUUACCAUGAUUUUAGAUGCCUAAGUUCCAAAACAUUAACACUCUUAUUAGGAGAAGAAUCAGAAGGCUUAAUCAACCGAUGGUGAAAAUUGUCACAUGCUGCAAGAAAAAUGACAGCUGGAAAGAUAUAAUCCCUCACACCACCAGCACCAACUCGGACAGAAUGAUGGUCUUUCAACAUAUAGUAGAUUCACGGUGAUACAUCGUAGAGCAGAUAUAGCUGGUCAACUUAUACAAGAAUGUUGAGACAUGGAUAAUUGGUUUCCUGCAAAGAAGAAUGUAUAAUGUAACACCUGCAGCCAGAGAGUUCGGAGAAAGGGAUCAGCUCAAAGAACAUUGGAGGGGUCUGAUGACAAUAUUGAUGUAGGUUAUGAAGGGUGAGCUACCUCCUGAUGAAGCACUGAAGGCUAAAACAAUACUUGAAGGCAAGCUCUUUACACUGAAGGAAGAGAGAGACAGUGUUGCCAAGGCAAAAGACGGCUCUAGAAUUGACAGAACCUGAUCCGACAGAGCAGUGACGGUCUGUUGAAUCAGAUGAAGGAAUUACCUACCGGACUGAAUGCCGGUUCUUCAUAUGAACAUGUUAAAUGAUUGCAUCAAGGAUUUACAAAGGUGAUCUACAACAUGGUUCUACAACUGCCAAAGAGCUGGAGGGAAAUGGAGUGAGCAGAUUGCAGUACAGUCAAACCUGUCUAUAAAGACCACCCUUGGGAGAGCCAAAAUGUAGUCUUUAUUGGGAGGUGAUUAUUCACAGGUUAAAAUAUACUGUAAAUGUUAAAAUGGGAAACAAAACAUGUCUUCUUUAGAGGGAGGUGGUCUCUGUUCAGAGGUGGUCUUUAACACCGGUUUGACUGUAUACACAUCAGUGGGAGUGGAACAGGCAGAUUUCAAUACUGGAAAAGCACAAUGAAGUUCAGCUGUUUCCAGCUUGAAACACAUGGAACCUUCAGAAGCACAUAAUGACAUGGUCGACAUUAUGGAAGUUCAUGGAGUAUGCCCGUGGCCAGACAAAUCUUCAUCUCUUGGAGGUUGAAGUUGCAAGGAGAGACUGAUGGAAAAUGACAGUGACUGGACAGACAAUGAUGAUGGUGAAGAAGUAUAGAAAACUUGGGAAAACUUUUAAUAGUGGUCAUCAACAUGCAGUCAUUGAUUCCAGUAUUCCAGCCAAUGUAUCCCUCUUCACACAAGAAGCAAUACCAGGAAAUAUGUGACAUUCAGCAACGAGGUAGUCAUUUACUCCAAGUGGCAAAGUUAGAUACAGCCUGACACCAAAAUACCCAUUGGAGUGGAAUGUUUUGUGAUGUGGACACUGCAGAAUCGUGUAUUUGACAGUUUAACUUGUUAACUUUAAAGCAGUACUUGCACUGUUGUGUCGGGGGAAAAUCAUGAAAUGGAGACUAUCACUUACCAGCCCACACAGUUGACUUUGGAAGAAAUUUCUUAUCAGUCAGGAAUUGACCAAAAAGGAUGUUGAUAUUGGUGCACUUCCUCGAAGCAACUUCAGUCCUACAGAACUAAGGGGAGGCAACAAUUAUCACUAUUGACCUAGUAACCAUUGACCUAAUUCAGUAUGGGAAGAUGCCACAUGUCACACAAAGCCGCAUACCACAACAAAUCACUGUAGCACAGAUAUCUAUGUUACACCUAAAAAGGAAAUUUCACCAGAGGCACAAAGGACCACAUGGAAUAUUCAGACACGAUGACCAUAAAAAGCACAAUAGUCCAACACAUGGAAUUAAGUUGACUGUAGAGAAAUUGUGUACUUGGCUUGAAAAGAUCCUGAAGUGAUUUCGGUAGCCCGUUAUGGACGACAGUUUGAUUUUCCAGUUCUUUUCUCAGCUCUACUGUGCAUAAAAAUAACUAGGACAUUAUUCAGCUGAGUUUCUUCUAAAGAGUAUUCUUUUAAAUGUGUUCAAGAAACUGUACAGUAAACAGUCAUACCUGCUAUGACACUACUUGGUGUCAGGUACAAUGUCUAUAACUGACAGACAGACAAAUUUGUUAUGAAAAACUGGGAAGGCCUGCCAAGGAUUUUCAUUUGUUAAAGAGAAAUUUCGAGCAAUGACAUAUACUCAUGAUAAAUUUGUUACCAUAAUGUUCAUUAUCUAAAGUAGAAAAUAACAGUUGUAAUUGGAAAUUUGAAUUGUGUUACUUAACUCUAUAUUUAAGAAAAUUAAUAUAUUCAAACUUGUAAAUUUUAUCAUUUGUUAAAAUCUUAUAUUAUAGCUUUAAGCCUUAAUACCCUCUUUUUACAAUCUGCCUAAAGAAACACUUUAGUUGUUCUUGUCUAUUAAUUUAGCCAUUUCCUUGAUUAAAAAUACACAACAAACUUCUUGCUCAAGACUUUCCAAGGUUGACAAGUUAUUACUUUCUUUGAUUUUGCUUAAGUUUGUUAACUAUUGUUAAAUACUUUUGUUCAAAAUUUAAUAAGGUGUAAAACCUUUAAAUAAUAUCCUUAAGCAACAGAUGUUAUCUUUUAAUAGUAACGUAAGGAGAAGACAACCUUUACUGUAAGCUAAUAUAGCUUUCUGUCCAAUGCCUGAAAUGUUUUUUUUGUAAAUAUUUCUUGACUUUCUGAAUGAAAAUGUUUAAAUUGAAAUUAUAAGUAAAGUAUAUAAACCCAAACUUUUAAGGAGCUAGAAGACAAAAUUUCAUUUCAGCUUGUGUAUAAAAUUAACUUUGUGAUAUUUUUCUUAGUGAUAAGUUUCUCAGUGAUAACUAGACAUUUAAUUUUAUAUCUGUGUAGAUUUUUGUACAGUUAAUUCAGACAAUAUUUGUAAAGAUUUUUUAUGUUUUAGGCUACCUUAUUAUUUAUAUUAGAAAAAAACUGUUAAAUUUUAAUUACUUUAUAAGUGUACAUGUAAAUCCUAUUUCACUAUACUUACAUAUUAUUGACAGCUAAGGGACUCUGUUGGAAAUAAGUGAAAUUGUUAACUUUCAUGGUUUAUCCAAGGCAGAAAGAUAAUUUUUUCCUGAUAUUUAUGUAUUAGCUUAAUUACACUUGUAAAGUACAAACAUAUAAGGGUUAACUGCAUAUUUAUUAAUUCUGAUAUUUGGAUUUCUGUACCAGUUUGUAUUUCUGUUAUAAUUGGAUCUUACGCCUGAAUAAAAUUGAAUUGAAUUGAACUGAAUUGGAUUUUAAACUGAAACUAAACUGAACUGAAUUUUACACUGAAACUGAACUGAACUGAAUAUAUCUGGGUAAAAAUCUACAUUACAGCUUUCAUUAAAAGACCACCAAAAGGAAGGAAAAAAAACAUGUUCUCUUUAUGCAGUAUAGUUUGUUCUUUGAUAACAUAAAAAAGGGAACUGAAAAACUGGUCUCUUACUGCAAGUAGUCUCUAAAUCAAAUGUACUUUAUGAAACUUAUUAUGCUUUUGUGCUGCAAAUUUUGUAAUGUAAUUUUGUUGUGUCUAUGAUGAUUUCUCUAAAUAAACUUUAAACAUUA